rnacentral:rRNA from 1 species
AGGAGAGUUUGAUCCUGGCUCAGGAUGAACGCUAGCUACAGGCUUAACACAUGCAAGUCGAGGGGCAGCAUGGGAGUUGCUUGCAAUUCCCGAUGGCGACCGGCGCACGGGUGAGUAACGCGUAUCCAACCUUCCCGUCACUCAGGGAUAGCCCGCCGAAAGGCGAAUUAAUACCUGAUGAUCUCCUUUGCGGACAUCUAAUGAGGAGUAAAGGUUUUUCCGGUGACGGAUGGGGAUGCGUCUGAUUAGGUUGUUGGCGGGGUAACGGCCCACCAAGCCAUCGAUCAGUAGGGGUUCUGAGAGGAAGGUCCCCCACAUUGGAACUGAGACACGGUCCAAACUCCUACGGGAGGCAGCAGUGAGGAAUAUUGGUCAAUGGGCGAGAGCCCGAACCAGCCAAGUAGCGUGGAGGAUGACGGCCCUACGGGUUGUAAACUCCUUUUAUCAGGGGAUAAAGUCCACUACGUGUAGUGGUUUGCAGGUACCUGAUGAAUAAGGACCGGCUAAUUCCGUGCCAGCAGCCGCGGUAAUACGGAAGGUCCGGGCGUUAUCCGGAUUUAUUGGGUUUAAAGGGAGCGCAGACGGGCUGUUAAGCGUGACGUGAAAUCCGGGGGCUCAACCUUCGGCUGCGUCGCGAACUGGCGGCCUUGAGUGGACGGUAGGCAGGCGGAAUUCGUGGUGUAGCGGUGAAAUGCUUAGAUAUCACGAAGAACCCCGAUUGCGAAGGCAGCUUGCCGCAGUCUUACUGACGUUCAUGCUCGAAGGUGCGGGUAUCGAACAGGAUUAGAUACCCUGGUAGUCCCCU